UAAUUUUUUAGCUGAAAAGACGUAAAGUAAGCAGUCACCGCAGUGGUGUUUGUGGAGAGGUAUUCCUUCAGAAAUGGAGAAGACAGAAAGCUGCAGAGGCAGGAUUGUUUGCAGAUAAUGCUGUUCUUCUUUUUCAGAAGUUUUUGGUGGGCCAACCCUCACAAACCUUCCUAAAAACUAAAAGAGCUAUUACUGAGUCUCAGCGACUCUUGCCACGGUCAGCUCUUCCCAGAAGAGAAGGAAGACCAAGGAAAUGAUUUGCUCAGGAUGAGAAAUGAAGAUGGUCAUCUUGUGCUCAAGCAAACAGAAGUCCUCUGGUAUGUGUGUGUUGAAGCAAUGAUGUGUUACAGGAC